GAUGAACGCUGGCGGCGUGCCUAAUACAUGCAAGUCGAGCGAACGGACGAGAAGCUUGCUCUUCUGAUGUUAGCGGCGGACGGGUGAGUAACACGUGGAUAACCUACCUAUAAGACUGGGAUAACUUCGGGAAACCGGAGCUAAUACCGGAUAAUAUUUUGAACCGCAUGGUUCAAAAGUGAAAGACGGUCUUGCUGUCACUUAUAGAUGGAUCCGCGCUGCAUUAGCUAGUUGGUAAGGUAACGGCUUACCAAGGCAACGAUGCAUAGCCGCCCUGAGAGGGUGAGCGGCCACACGGGACCUGAGACACGGUCCAGACUCCUACGGGGGGAGGCAGUAGGGAAUCUUCCGCAAUGGGCGAAAGCCUGACGGAGCAACGCCGCGUGAGUGAUGAAGGUCUUCGGAUCGUAAAACUCUGUUAUUAGGGAAGAACAUAUGUGUAAGUAACUGUGCACAUCUUGACGGUACCUAAUCAGAAAGCCACGGCUAACUACGUG
rnacentral:rRNA from 1 species